CAGUUCAACCAAGUUCUGAACAUUGACAAGUAACUCUUUAAUCUGCACACAAUUUGUGAGAGAAUACUACUCUUUUGAUAUGUGUUUUCUAUUAGGGCACAACAAGACUGACCCAUUACCAUGUUCUAUAUGAUGACGUUGGUUUUUCAGCAGAUGAUCUCCAGGAAGUAGUUCAUUCGCAAUCCCAUGUGUAUCAGAGAAGCACCACUGCAAUUUCUGUAGUUGCUCCAGUAUGCUACGCCCACUUGGCAGCAACUCAGGUGGGACAAUUUAUGAAGUUUGUUUGACGAAGGGUCUGAGACAUCGUCGAGCCAUGGUGGCACAUCUGCUGGCCCUGUCCCAGUUUCGCAGUUGCCUUGACUACAAGAGAACGUGUCGGGUUCCAUGUUCUUUUGUUAGACAACCCUGUGGUUGUAUAUAUUGGCUUGGUCUUUUGGUUAUGAGGAAAGCAUUGAAUCAGAAAACUGGGAUCCUCUAUGGUAGUUGAAUGUAAUUUAACUUAUUUUUGGCCUUUUUGGUGUCUUGUUCUGUUUGGUUAACAGUGGUUAGGUUGCUUGGUCAUGUACCUUCGAUAUUUGUGAUAGUUUUAUGAUUAGAGAUUGCUAUUGAUACUUCUUGUGUCCCAAUCAUGUCUAUUUUGGGUGAUA